UUAAAGUUGUUGCAGUUAAAACGCUCGUAGUCGAACUUCGGGCCUGGCGGGAUGGUCCGCCUUACGGUGUGCACUGUCUUGCUGGAUCUUACCUCUUGGUGAAGCCUUAUGCCCUUUACUGGGUGUAGGGUCGAACCAGGAAUUUUACUUUGAGAAAAUUAGAGUGUUCAAAGCAGGCAUUUGCCCGAAUACAUUAGCAUGGAAUAAUA
rnacentral:rRNA from 1 species